rnacentral:rRNA from 1 species
UAGGGAAUCUUCGGCAAUGGACGGAAGUUUGGACCGAGCAACGCCGACGUGAGUGAAGAAGGUUUUCGGAUCGUAAAGCUCUGUUGUAAGAGAAGAACGAGUGUGAGAGUGGAAAGUUCACACUGUGACGGUAUCUUACCAGAAAGGGACGGCUAACUACGUGCCAGCAGCCGCGGUAAUACGUAGGUCCCGAGCGUUGUCCGGAUUUAUUGGGCGUAAAGCNAGCGCAGGCGGUUAGAUAAGUCUGAAGUUAAAGGCUGUGGCUUAACCAUAGUAGGCUUUGGAAACUGUUUAACUUGAGUGCAAGAGGGGAGAGUGGAAUUCCAUGUGUAGCGGUGAAAUGCGUAGAUAUAUGGAGGAACACCGGUGGCGAAAGNGGCUCUCCGGCUUGUAACUGACGCUGAGGCUCGAAAGCGUGGGGAGCAAACAGGAUUAGAUACCCUGGUAGUCCACGCUGUAAACGAUGAGUGCUAGGGUGUUAGACCCUUUCCGGGGUUUAGUGCCGUAGCUAACGCAUUAAGCACUCCGCCUGGGGAGUACGACCGCAAGGUGA